AAUGAACAAAUUCAGAAUCCCCGUAUCUCAGCAUUGUUUCCCCCCCCCCCCCCGCGACUAUUUCUUGCACGGUAGCAAUCUCACGCAACAGAUAAAGCUCCGACUCCUAUGUCUUCAGGAGCUUCAGUUCGUAGAUUAAUGGCGUCCAUAUCCAACUCGUUGCCACCGAAGCACGGGAUAUCACUAUGAUGCCCUCAAUGUGUUGCUCUUAAUCCUUCUCUCCGGCCUUCUUCGUUCGGAUUGAUCAGUUGCAAUGCGGCUUGAUACGCGAGUCGUACUUUCCGUCGAACACGGCAUGGCCUAUGGACGACUCUGUAUUUUGUCUAAAGAGGCGAGU